GGUCUCCUUCAGCCCCUCCCACUUCACAUUCCUCACCAGUCAGCUGACCUCUAGUGUCAGCACAGAUAAUGCUCCAUUAACUGCUUUCCCGGCCAGCACUCAGUAAAAUAAAUCUGACCGUGCAAAACCAAUUCCUAACAAUUGCAGCUGAACACUGGAGAGGGAGAGAGAGGGGGU